rnacentral:rRNA from 1 species
UACGGGGGGGAGCAAGCGUUGUUCGGAUUCAUUGGGCGUAAAGGGUGCGUAGGUGGCGCCGUAAGUCGGGUGUGAAAAUUUCGAGGCUUAACCUCGAAACUGCAUUCGAUACUGCGGUGCUUGAGGACUGGAGAGGAGACUGGAAUUCAUGGUGUAGCAGUGAAAUGCGUAGAGAUCAUGAGGAAGACCAGUGGCGAAGGCGGGUCUCUGGACAGUUCCUGACACUGAGGCACGAAGGCCAGGGGGAGCAAAACGGG